AUUGAACGCUGGCGGCAGGCCUAACACAUGCAAGUCGAGCGGAUGAAGGGAGCUUGCUCCUGGAUUCAGCGGCGGACGGGUGAGUAAUGCCUAGGAAUCUGCCUGGUAGUGGGGGAUAACGUCCGGAAACGGGCGCUAAUACCGCAUACGUCCUGAGGGAGAAAGUGGGGGAUCUUCGGACCUCACGCUAUCAGAUGAGCCUAGGUCGGAUUAGCUAGUUGGUGGGGUAAAGGCCUACCAAGGCGACGAUCCGUAACUGGUCUGAGAGGAUGAUCAGUCACACUUGAACCUGGAACCGGUCCCAGCUCCUAAGGGAGGCCACAGUUGGGAAUAUUUGACAAUGGGCGGAAGCCUGAUCCAGCCAUGCCGCGUGUGUGAAGAAGGUCUUCGGAUUGUAAAGCACUUUAAGUUGGGAGGAAGGGCAGUAAGUUAAUACCUUGCUGUUUUGACGUUACCAACAGAAUAAGCACCGGCUAACUUCGUG
rnacentral:rRNA from 1 species